rnacentral:rRNA from 1 species
UACAGAGGGGGCAAGCGUUAUUCGGAAUUAUUGGGCGUAAAGGGCGCGUAGGCGGCUUGGCAAGUGGAUGGUGAAAUCCCUCGGCUUAACCGAGGAACUGCCGUCCAAACUGCUUCGCUUGAGACCGGGAGAGGUGAGUGGAAUUCCCAGUGUAGCGGUGAAAUGCGUAGAUAUUGGGAGGAACACCAGUGGCGAAGGCGGCUCACUGGACCGGUACUGACGCUGAUGCGCGAAAGCGUGGGGAUCAAACAGG